AAAGCUCAGUCUGUCUGGGGUUCAAUUCUGUUGAUUUGUGUGCAUCAGAAGCUCUAGUACCUAUUUCACUUUAACUUUUGAAAGUGAGGAAUCUCUAUCUAAUCUGGGCGCACAAUCUGCCCACAUGCCAUGAUUCAUCAAAACAAAAGAAAAAGUUUAGGUGCCUCCAAUAAGCUUGCACUGCUUCCUUAUCUGUCAUUCCAUCAAUUAUUGUGCCAUUUCUUUACUUAUCAUGAGGCAGAUGAUGUAGAUGUUUCACCUCUCAUCUCACUCUGUAUAGAUCGUUGGUGAAAUGAAUUUAUUCAAUAAAUUAUGCAACAUGUAUUAAAUAACUGCUGUUACUGUAAGAUAGAGAGCACAUUCUGUGAUUAAACCAUAAUGAGUCUUUAUCGUCAUCAAAUUACCAUUGGGAUGUGAUUCUUUUGCAUGCUGAGUGUCAGCCAAUCAGCUCCCACACAGUAAAAAUAAAACAAGAGAUAACUCUUGUCCUUUAUUUGUCAAACCAGUUCAAAUUGUUAACAUUGUUUAAGUCCCUUUGCGUACCAAAUUGUUUCUUUACACGACAUGGCUUUCUUAGUAAGCCAGAAAGCAGGUUUAGUAAAAACUCUGAGUUUGUUAACCUUGAGAUGAAGGAAACUCUGGGUUUACUCCGUUUCAGAAGGAGAUGUAACUUAACCUCAGAGUCAGUUACUAUGGUAACUGGGCCUGUAAACCUAACCUGGUCGGGUGCAGGUUUUUUUCAAUAAACCUUGAGUUCCUCUCAGUCUCCUCCCUCUGACACAUCACUAUUUAAUUUCCUCACUCAUUCAUUCAGUCUGUAUUAGGUGCAUUUUAGUGCAGUGUAUUAUCUGAAAAAUAAAAAAAAGUGUUGGUUUAUUAACCAUGUUAGGAGACUAUAAAACUUUUUUUUUCU